rnacentral:rRNA from 1 species
UACGAAGGGGGCUAGCGUUGUUCGGAAUUACUGGGCGUAAAGGGCGCGCAGGCGGCUCUUCAAGUCAGAUGUGAAAGCCCCGGGCUCAACCUGGGAACUGCAUUUGAGACUGGAGAGCUCGAGUUCGGGAGAGGAGAGCGGAAUUCCCAGUGUAGAGGUGAAAUUCGUAGAUAUCGGGAGGAACACCUGUGGCGAAAGCGGCGCACUGGACCACAACUGACGCUGAGGCGCGAAAGCUAGGGGAGCAAACAGG